UGGGGAAUAUUGGACAAUGGGCGAAAGCCUGAUCCAGCCAUGCCGCGUGAGUGAUGAAGGCCCUAGGGUUGUAAAGCUCUUUCACCGGUGAAGAUAAUGACGGUAGCCGGAGAAGAAGCCCCGGCUAACUUCGUGCCAGCAGCCGCGGUAAUACGAAGGGGGCUAGCGUUGUUCGGAAUUACUGGGCGUAAAGCGCACGUAGGCGGAUUGUUAAGUCGGGGGUGAAAUCCCGGGGCUCAACCCCGGAACUGCCUUCGAUACUGGCACUCUAGAGUCCGGAAGAGGUGAGUGGAAUUCCGAGUGUAGAGGUGAAAUUCGUAGAUAUUCGGAGGAACACCAGUGGCGAAGGCGGCUCACUGGUCCGGUACUGACGCUGAGGUGCGAAAGCGUGGGGAGCAAACA
rnacentral:rRNA from 1 species